rnacentral:rRNA from 1 species
CCUACGGGGGGCAGCAGUAGGGAAUAUUGCUCAAUGGGGGAAACGCUGAAGCAGCAACGCCGCGUGGAGGAUGACUGUUUUCGGAUUGGAAACUCCUUUUGUUAGAGAAGAUAUUGAUGGUACCUAACGAAUAAGCACCGGCCAACUUCGUGCCAGGAGCCGGGGUAAAACGGGGGGUGCAAGGGUUAUUCGGAAUCACUGGGCGUAAAGAGCGCGUAGGUGGGAUAGCAAGUCAGAUGUGAAAUCCUAUGGGUUAACCAUAGAAUUGCAUUUGAAACUGUUAUUCUAGAGUAUGGGAGAGGUAGGUGGAAUACUUGAAGUAGGGGUGAAAUCCUUAGAGAUAAAGUAGAAUACUCAUUGCGAAGGCAGCCUACUAGAACGUAACUGACGCUGAUGCGCGAGAGCGUGGGGAGCGAACAGGAUUAGAUACCCGUGUAGUC